CCUACGGGUGGCAGCAGUGAGGAAUAUUGGUCAAUGGUCGUAAGCCUGAACCAGCCAAGUCGCGUGAAGGAUGACUGUUCUAUGGAUUGUAAACCUCUUUUAUACGGGAAUAAAGUGCGGGACGUGUCCCGUUUUGUAUGUACCUUAUGAAUAAGGAUCGGCUAACUCCGUGCCAGCAGCCGCGGUAAUACGGAGGAUCCGAGCGUUAUCCGGAUUUAUUGGGUUUAAAGGGUGCGUAGGCGGCUUUUUAAGUCAGUGGAGAAAGUCUGUGGCUCAACCAUAAAAUUGCCGUUGAAACUGGGAGGCUUGAGUAUGUUUGAGGCAGGCGGAAUGCGUGGUGUAGCGGUGAAAUGCUUAGAUAUCACGCAGAACCCCGAUUGCGAAGGCAGCCUGCCAGGCCAUGACUGACGCUGAUGCACGAAAGCGUGGGGAUCAAACAGGAUUAGAUACCCGGGUAGUC
rnacentral:rRNA from 1 species